rnacentral:rRNA from 1 species
GAUGAACGCUGGCGGCGUGCCUAAUACAUGCAAGUCGAGCGAACGGACGAGAAGCUUGCUUCUCUGAUGUUAGCGGCGGACGGGUGAGUAACACGUGGAUAACCUACCUAUAAGACUGGGAUAACUUCGGGAAACCGGAGCUAAUACCGGAUGAUAUUUUGAACCGCAUGGUUCAAAAGUGAAAGACGGUCUUGCUGUCACUUAUAGAUGGAUCCGCGCUGCAUUAGCUAGUUGGUAAGGUAACGGCUUACCAAGGCAACGAUGCAUAGCCGACCUGAGAGGGUGAUCGGCAACACUGGAACUGAGACACGGACCAGAGUCCUACGGGAGGCAGAAGUAGGGAAUCUUGCGCAAUGGGCGAAAGCCUGACGGAGCAAUGACGCGUGAGUGAUGAAGGUCUUCGGAUCGUAAAACUCUGUGAUUAGGGAAGAACAUAGGUGUAAGUAAAUGUGCACAUCUUGACGGUACCUAAUCAGAAAGCCACGGCUAACUACGUG